rnacentral:rRNA from 1 species
AGAGUUUGAUCCUGGCUCAGAUUGAACGCUGGCGGCAGGCCUAACACAUGCAAGUCGAACGGUAACAUUUCUAGCUUGGUAGAAGAUGACGAGUGGCGGACGGGUGAGUAAUGCUUGGGAAUUUGCCUUUGCGAGGGGGAUAACAGUUGGAAACGACUGCUAAUACCGCAUAACGUCUACGGACCAAAGGGGGCUUCGGCUCUCGCGUGAAGAGAAGCCCAAGUGAGAUUAGCUAGUUGGUGGGGUAAAGGCUCACCAAGGCGACGAUCUCUAGCUGUUCUGAGAGGAAGAUCAGCCACACUGGGACUGAGACACGGCCCAGACUCCUACGGGAGGCAGCAGUGGGGAAUAUUGCACAAUGGGGGAAACCCUGAUGCAGCCAUGCCGCGUGUGUGAAGAAGGCCUUCGGGUUGUAAAGCACUUUCGGUUGUGAGGAAAAGUUAGUAGUUAAUACCUGCUAGCCGUGACGUUAACAACAGAAGAAGCACCGGCUAACUCCGUGCCAGCAGCCGCGGUAAUACGGAGGGUGCGAGCGUUAAUCGGAAUUACUGGGCGUAAAGCGCACGCAGGCGGAUUGUUAACCUAGAGGUGAAAGCCCCGCGCUCAACGUGGGAAUAGCCUUUAGAACUGGCAGUCUAGAGUCUUGGAGAGGGGAGUGGAAUUCCAGGUGUAGCGGUGAAAUGUGUAGAGAUCUGGAGGAACAUCAGUGGCGAAGGCGACUCCCUGGCCAAAGACUGACGCUCAUGUGCGAAAGUGUGGGUAGCGAACAGGAUUAGAUACCCUGGUAGUCCACACCGUAAACGCUGUCUACUAGCUGUUUGUGACUUUAAGUCGUGAGUAGCGAAGCUAACGCGCUAAGUAGACCGCCUGGGGAGUACGGUCGCAAGAUUAAAACUCAAAUGAAUUGACGGGGGCCCGCACAAGCGGUGGAGCAUGUGGUUUAAUUCGAUGCAACGCGAAGAACCUUACCUACACUUGACAUGCAGAGAACUUUCCAGAGAUGGAUUGGUGCCUUAGGGAACUCUGACACAGGUGCUGCAUGGCUGUCGUCAGCUCGUG